rnacentral:rRNA from 1 species
AGUGAACGCUGGCGGCAGGCCUAACACAUGCAAGUCGAACGGCAGCACAGUUAGUGCUUGCUGUUACGGGGGGGGAGUGGCGGACGGGUUAGGAAUACAUAGGUAUUUACGUGUGCGAGGGGGCGGAGGUAGGGGGACUUACGCUACUAACGCAUACGGCCUAAGAGUGGGAGCAGGUGGUCUUCGGCGCUUGCGCGAUGGAAGGUGGCGAUGUCGGAUUAGGGAGUUGGUGGGGUAAAGGCCUACCAAGGCGACGAUCCGUAGCUGGUCUGAGAGGAGGACCAGCCACACUGGAACUGAGACACGGUCCAGACUCCUACGGGAGGCAGCAGUGGGGAAUUUUGGACAAUGGGCGAAAGCCUGAUCCAGCCAUGCCGCGUGUGUGAAGAAGGCCUUCGGGUUGUAAAGCACUUUUGUCCGGAAAGAAAAGCAGGAGGUUAAUACCGCGCGGUGCUGACGGUACCGAAAGAAUAAGCACCGGCUAACUUCGUG